rnacentral:rRNA from 1 species
UAACUGCGAGUGAAGCGGGAAGAGCUCAAAUUUGUAAUCUGGCGAUCUCUGGUCGUCCGAGUUGUAAUCUGUAGAGGCGUCGUCCGCGUCGGCCCGUGUACAAGUCUCCUGGAAUGGAGCGUCAUAGAGGGUGAGAAUCCCGUCCAUGACACGGACCACCGAUGCUUUGUGAGGUGCCCUCGAAGAGUCGCGUUGUUUGGGAAUGCAGCGCAAAAUGGGUGGUAAAUUCCAUCUAAGGCUAAAUAUUGGCGAGAGACCGAUAGCGAACAAGUACCGUGAGGGAAAGAUGAAAAGCACUUUGGAAAGAGAGUUAAACAGUACGUGAAAUUGUUGAAAGGGAAACGCUUGAAGUCAGUCGCGUCCUGGGGCAUUCAGCCUCGCUUCGGCUUGGUGUACUUGCCUUGGGAUGGGUCAACAUCAAUUUUGGCUGGUGGAUAAGGGUGAGGGGAAUGUAGCGUUGUUUCGGCGACGUGUUAUAGCCCCUCAUUGAAUACAUCGGCUGGGAUUGAGGACCGCAGCACGCCCUUGUGGCCGGGGGUUCGCCCUACUCACGUGCUUAGGAUGUUGGCAUAAUGGCUUUAAGCGACCCGUCUUGAAACACGGACCAAGGAGUCUAACAUGCUUGCGAGUGUUCGGGUGGAAAACCCUUGCGCGUAAUGAAAGUGAAAGUUGGGAGCCUUCGCGAGGAGGUGCACCGACGCCCGGCCCUGAUGUGCUCUGACGGUGCUGCGGUAGAGCAAGUAUGUUGGGACCCGAAAGAUGGUGAACUAUGCCUGAAUAGGGUGAAGCCAGAGAAACUCUGGUGGAGGCUCGUAGCGAUUCUGACGUGCAAAUCGAUCGUCAAAUUUGGG